UACAGAGGAGCCAAGCGUUGUCCGGAUUGACUGGGCGUAAAGCGCACGCAGGCGGACGCGCGCGUGGGGUGUGAAAUCUGGCCGCUUAACGGCCAGGCGCCAUCCCAUACGGCGCGUCUGGAGUGAUGCAGAGGUCGGUGGAAUUGCCGGUGUAGUGGUGAAAUGCGUAGAGAUCGGCAGGAACACCCAGGGGGAAACCAGCCGACUGGGCAUCUACUGACGCUGAGGUGCGAGAGCGUGGGGAGCGAACCGGG
rnacentral:rRNA from 1 species